ensembl:lncRNA
CUUUUUACCUACUUAAUUUCUUACCUGAUUCAUAGGAAUUAUUUGUGCCAGGCAAAGUGCACCCUACUUGACCUCAGAAAACAGCACCGGGACAAAAAUAGUUAAGCUGGUGAGGGAAGCAAUACGAGUCUAAGAAACUGCGGAUCCGCUGAGCGAGGCUGCCUGUCUUUCCCCUUGUUUGAACGGACCUUUCGGUUUCUCAGGGAAUAAGAAUUUUAGUCAAUAAUGAGGAGGAGCUCCGCUGGGUUGUUCUCUGUCGUGGUCUCCAGCAGUGACCCAGAUGAAAUAACCACUGCAACACUGACUACUCGAUCUGCCGGCUUGAAAGACUCCAGACCGGUGACUUUAUGGAUUAUGAUUCACCUUCCCUGUCCUGUUUUGAUGAGACACCACGACGGAACCAUCCCUGUCAAUAUAAGUUUCCAGUUUCCACCCUGUCAAUUCGCCCUGUACUAAUUGGCGCGCAGGUGAGAUUUCCUGUCGCCAUUUUAAGCAGACACGAGUCCCUCACAAGGAAGUGCCCAGUUAGAAGGGGCUGUGCUUGAAACAAAGAGUAGGCUGAAGAAAGAGAACCGGGCCCAGCAGCUCCCGCCCUCCAUCCUUCUCCCGCAUCCUCCAACGCUCCCAGUCCGGACUUGGGAGGGCCGGGAACGCCGCAGCCCUCGGGGCGGAGUAACGCGGAAUCUCCACUCUCGGC